rnacentral:rRNA from 1 species
AAACAGCUUGCUGUUUCGCUGACGAGUGGCGGACGGGUGAGUAAUGUCUGGGAAACUGCCUGAUGGAGGGGGAUAACUACUGGAAACGGUAGCUAAUACCGCAUAACGUCGCAAGACCAAAGAGGGGGACCUUCGGGCCUCUUGCCAUCGGAUGUGCCCAGAUGGGAUUAGCUAGUAGGUGGGGUAACGGCUCACCUAGGCGACGAUCCCUAGCUGGUCUGAGAGGAUGACCAGCCACACUGGAACUGAGACACGGUCCAGACUCCUACGGGAGGCAGCAGUGGGGAAUAUUGCACAAUGGGCGCAAGCCUGAUGCAGCCAUGCCGCGUGUAUGAAGAAGGCCUUCGGGUUGUAAAGUACUUUCAGCGGGGAGGAAGGGAGUAAAGUUAAUACCUUUGCUCAUUGACGUUACCCGCAGAAGAAGCACCGGCUAACUCCGUGCCAGCAGCCGCGGUAAUACGGAGGGUGCAAGCGUUAAUCGGAAUUACUGGGCGUAAAGCGCACGCAGGCGGUUUGUUAAGUCAGAUGUGAAAUCCCCGGGCUCAACCUGGGAACUGCAUCUGAUACUGGCAAGCUUGAGUCUCGUAGAGGGGGGUAGAAUUCCAGGUGUAGCGGUGAAAUGCGUAGAGAUCUGGAGGA